rnacentral:lncRNA from 1 species
UCUAAUCUAUGUAAUCAUCCGUCUAUUUCAGACUUAGUCGAUGACAAACUACACACAAAAUUUCUUCACUGUACAUCUGUUCCUGCUUGCACCUACAAAUUUAUGUACACGACACACAUACAUUAUCGAGGUUCAAGGACUGUGAUAUUCAAUUGGUUAGACGAAGAAUCUGGAUCAUGAAAUGUUCUUUCCAUAAAGAAUCCAGGUUGUUUAGGAUGAGGCAGAGCAAUGCUACUGCUCAACAUCAGAACCACAUGAGACAUACUAGGUCUAUCAGCUGGAUGUUGUUGAACGCACAAUAAUCCAAUCUGAAUAACUCGAAACACUUCAGCAUGGUUGCAUGACUCCGAUAUUGCCUCAUCCACAAGUCCCAAAAGCUUGUCUUCUUUGUAACUUGUCCAUGCCUGAAAGAGAUAACAUGUCACUGAUGACCGAGGAUGAGCCUAAGGCAAAGUAUAAGCACAGACGGAUCUAGUAAGAGGCACGGAGGACACGUGUCCCCCUAAAUUAUUAUUUUUGACAUUUUUCGCCAUUUUAAAGAAGUGUGCCCCUGGGGACAAGUAUGAUAAAUAUUUGUUACAGCUGCUUACAUGUCCGAGAAGGUUUAGGCUAUGAUCACGGUGAACGUAUGAUCUGUUCUUCUUUCCGCUUAUUAUUUCUAUCACCAAAACUCCGAAGCUAUAGACAUCAGAUUUAGUUGAGAAUAUUCCGUCUAUAGCAUACUCCGGGGGCAUGUAACCACUGCAAGAGCCGAGAGACAAAAUCAGAAAUUUAUAUCAGUCUUGCACAGGGGAUAUAGAAUUAUGGUAGUGCUAGUUUUUAUUAAUUCAUAGGUUCAUACUAUGUCCCAACGACCCUUGUCGUAUUUGCUUGCAUUUGAUUACCUCCAAAACUUCUUGCCAUGCCAAAAUCUGAAAUUUUUGGAUUCAUCUCGUGAUCAAGUAAGACAUUACUUGUUUUGAGAUCUCUGUGAAUUAUUCGCAGUUUAGAGUCUUGGUGAAGAUAGAGAAGUCCUCUGGCAAUGCCAUUUACUAUGUUGCAGCGCUUUGACCAAUCCAAUGCUUUGCCAUUUUCAUCAUCUGUUCAUCGAUUUCAUGUCAAUUCAUACAUCUUUACAUAUGAAUCAUGUAGAGAUAAACCAACUCAACUUCUUUGCAUAUAUGCAAUAGAGUAGCUACUAGCCAUGUAAUGGAAACCUGGUACUUGUCCCCAGAAAUAUAUGUUUCUGAUACUAUGAUCUUGCAGAAAAAAUAGAGUACUAUACUGCCCCUUGUGAGGUAGGAUGAUUAAUCAUAAAGUUACUUUUUAAUGUGUAGAUAUAUAGGACCAUACCGAAGAUGCAGGAAUCUAAACACUUGUUGGGCAAGUAUUCAUAUAUCAACAUCCUUUCUCCUUUGUCAAUGCAGCAUCCAAGAAGUGCCACUAGAUUUCUAUGUUGCAGCUUAGCAAUACAUGAAACUUCAUUCAUAAAUUCAUCUAUUCCUUGUCUUGAAUCCUUUGCCAGCCUCUUUACAGCUACUUCUUGUCCAUUAGUCAACAAACCCUGUGACAUGAAAGAUUAUCUAGUGGAGGUUCCAGAUUCUGCAGUAGUGGAUUCUAAUUUAUGCAUCGUCAUUAUAUAAUUAUAACAUAUGCUAGAACCUCUUUGAUAUUUGGGGUCUGGAGCAGAAAAUCUGAACAGGUUUAAUGAGAUCAUAGUAUGCACAAUUGUGGCUAGUAAUCACCUUGUACACAGGUCCAAAUCCACCUUCCCCCAGCUUAUUAUGGUCGGAGAAGUUCUUUGUAGCAUUUGCAAUUUCUGUGAAGUCAAAUAAUGGCACUUCAAAGUCUUCCCCCUCAAUUUUGUUCAAGGCCACCAUUUCUGAAGUGAAUGUCAUUCUCCCUGUAAAUAAAAAAUUGCAACUUAAGUUCUUUGUUAGCACGUUCGACAACAGAAAUGCCAGUAUAGUUUUCUUGCCAAUAGAUUUAUACACAUAUACCUCUUCUCUUCUGAAUUCUCAUCCUCAGUAAAUGCAACAGUAGGAAAAGUAGAGCGGUUGCUGAUGUGAGAAGUACUAUCACAAUUGCCUUCAUAAAUCUGGACCUCUUACUUCCCAGUUUAUAAUCUAAAAUUAGGAGGAAAUGGAGUUAGUCCAGAAAGGUAAGGAUUUCAGGUAGUGUAGUGAAAUGUGAAUAAUCUUGUACUUAGUUCAGAGUGUAUAUAUGUGUGUUAUCUCACCAAAGUCAGAGGACAUCUUUACAUACAUAUCUUCCCCAUCUGUGUAGUAUUUGAUAUCCAUCAGCUCACCAAACCACAAGAUGCAUCCACUUCCGCCUUUUCUGAUAUCAGCAUCCAUAUAAGCUGUACAAGAGCAAUUCUUCAAGCACAAACUCUCACAAUCCUCAAGGUUUAAGCUCAUGUUGUACCAUGAACUUCGCGUAUCUGGCCAUUUCACACCUGAAUACUUCAUAAAACUCUCUCCACUCCCACAACUCAUUGGACUUCCACGGACACACCCAUCAGACCAAUUUCCUGCUUUCCACUUUUCACUAAGUUUCGGAACAAAUCCUUUCAAACAUUCACAUCUAGGAUAGUUAUUAGGAUUACAACCUCCAUACGGACCACAAAAUCAUACUCCAAUUCACAAACUCUUUUAUAUACAUAUGGAAAAAAAAAAAAAGAAGAAGAAAAACAAUGUUGUACCACUAAAUCAAGGUAAAUAACGUAGGAGCUUAAGAGAUACUGCCGAGCUCUACCCCGCCCGCAUUAUGAGCCUUUCAUUUAAAAAGUCUUAUAUGGCUAGCAUAAGUUUGCCCACUAAACAGGUUAAAAGUAAUUAAUCUGAUAAAUUUUCCUAUAUCAUUACAUGUUAGCUCGGUAAAAUAUAUGUCUACUGAUCACUCACACACCAGAAACGGGUGAAUAUUACUUAAAAAUAUUUUCAACUCCAAUCAUAUAACCACCUCUCUAAUCUCCAAAGAAGAUUUGAAGGGUUAUACAAAGACCGUAAGCACUAAGCAGUUGUGAGGACAUACUUCUCAUUGAACAAGUUUUCAGAAACAGUCUCCCAAUUAUACCAGUCCAUAUGAGACAAAUAUCAAUUCUCUGCCCAAACUAUAUGGUUAACUGUUAAUAGGAACUACAAAGAAUCAAGAUCUGCAAUGAAUACUAUAGCGGCGAACAUGUUUUUAAUAAUUUGAGCCAUAAAAAGAUAAAACAAUUAAUGAUGUAACAGCAAAAUUUAGCACAUAUAUGAGGUCGCUGCAACAGCGCAAUAUCAGAAGAAGAUUGUGCAACAUAAUCUCAGCACAUACACAGUGUAUGUUAAAUGAUCCUGUUACAAACUAAUAUAAGUACAAUAUUCUUUUCUAAAUCUGAAAUUAUCGUUUUAAGUUUCACUAUGCGCCUUUUUUGGCCACAGUUUCAUCAGUGUCUUUUUAUACUUUGGCAGAUCCAAACAGUGACCUACUGUCCAAAAACCAGCCUUAUUCGUUCUUUCAUCUCUCCCCAAUUUAUGUGGCAUAUCAGAUUAAACAUGUCGUAAUACUCUAUCAGCAACAAAUUUAUUAAAAUCGGAAACUACACAUGCUAUUUGAAACAAAAUAGUUGUUCUAAGCUCUUGAUUUCCCACACCAAGAUCUAUUUUCUACAAUCAAAACGAUAGUCGCCAACCGAGAUGUAUAAACAUGCUCCUAAAUAAAAUUCGUUGCGCAAAAAAACAAAUCAAAUACAGUUACAACAACAUUUAAGUGUGCCACACUCACCCACAUUUGUGCAUCCAAGUAAUUAAAUAUCACAUACUCACAGUCUCACAUUAUAUUUUUAAAAAAAAUCACUAGCUAAUUUUUCGAAACACAGAAUAAAACAGAAAGAGAAUAUAAAGUUCACAGUAGACAUUAAAGUACGCAUUCGUAAUGCGGCGGAGAUUCACGGCGGGAGAUAGAAAAGUAGAAGAAAAGCGGCGGUUGAGAACUGAGAAGCUGGUGUUUGAGAGCGGAGACGGCAGGGGUAAUAUGGUAAUUAUGGCCAUCUGCUGCUUAUCUGCUUUGUGUUAUACGGAUGCACAACAGGAGAGACUGUGUGGUCUAUUUAUCGUUAAAGAUGACCGUCUGGAGUGAAACACGCAGGGUACGUCAACAUAGGAGUACCUUAAUAUUCAAGGACAGUACUCAUUUUCAAUCCUGUCUCGUUUAUUUUGGAGUACUAGUAGUGCUCAUUUUCGAUCUUGUCUCAGUUAUUUUAGAGUAGUUUGAUCACUUAUUUUGGAGUAGUUGAAGCAAGUGUUACAUUCAUCAAUGAGUACAAAAUUUUGUACGAAAUAAUAUAAUGACAGUAAUAUAAAUGUUUUAAUUCAUGCUAUUAAGUUAUUAAUGUAUAUAUAAAAGGCCGACAGAAUAAUGUUACAUCCACAAAAGUAGAUACAAAAUUUUACACAAAAUGACAUGAUAAUUGAGAUGAUAAUUGAGAGAUGUUUUAAUUAGUGUUAUUAAUACAUAAGGGGACGACUAGAAUAGUGCUACAUCCACAAAUUUGGAUACAAAUUUUUGCAUAAAAUAACAUGAUGAUUGAGUCGAGAUGUUUUAAUCAAUGGUAUUAAUACAUAUACAGGAGGCCGAGUAGUGCUACAUCCACAAAAAUAAAUACAAAAUUUUGCACAAAAUAACAUGAUAAUUGAUGUGUAAUUUAUUAAUUGGUACUAUUAAUAUACGUUUUACAGGGGUGUAUUGGAUUGGAAUUUUAAAACAUUUUUUUUCCUUUCAUUAUGAAAUCCGAGGAUAUUCGAUUGAGAUUGCUUGAAAUCUAUUAAAAUAUUGGGGUAUUUAAUUGAGAUUAUAAAUUAUGCUACAAAAUCUGAUAGUAUUCAAUUAGGAUUUUAAAUUAUAUUUUAAAAUUUGAUAGUAUUCAAUUGUGAUUGUUUAAAAUCCAUUAAAACCUGAUUGUAUUUAAAUGUUGAUUGAUUUUUUUGGAUUUCACAAAAUGAUGGAUUUUGUGUAUUUUAAAUUUUUUGAAAUCCUAUCAAAAUUCACGAGAUUUAGAGCAUUGUGCUUAAAUCCUAUCAACUCUGCGACAUUUUAUCAAAAAUUUGCAUAAAAUCAAAAUCUCGUACAAUUCAUUAUAAUCCACAGAUGAAACACAAUCUAUCAAUCAAUACUCAACGCAUACUCAUUUUGUGUAUGAUCCUGUACACAGUUUUGUGUAAUGACGUGAGUCUAAUCUACGUAAUCAUCCGUCUAUUUCAGACUUCGGUCGAGGACAAACUACACACAAAAUUUCUUCACUGUACAUCUGUUCCUGCUUACACCUCCAAAUUUACGUACACGACACACAUACAUUAUCGAGGUUCAAGGACCGUGAUAGUUAAUUGGCUUGAGGAAGAAACUGGAUCAUGAAAUGUUCUUUCCAUAAAGAAUCCAGGUUGUUUAGGAUGAGGCAGAGCAAUGUUACUGCUCAACAUCAGAACCACAUGAGACAUACUAGGCCUAUCAGCUGGAUGUUGUUGAACGCACAAUAAUCCAAUCUGAAUAACUCGAAACACUUCAGCAUG